UACGUAGGUGGCAAGCGUUAUCCGGAUUUAUUGGGCGUAAAGCGAGCGCAGGCGGUUCUUUAAGUCUGAUGUGAAAGCCUUCGGCUUAACUGAAGAAGUGCAUUGGAAACUGGGGGACUUGAGUGCAGAAGAGGACAGUAGAACUCCAUGUGUAGCGGUGAAAUGCGUAGAUAUAUGGAAGAAUACCAGUGGCGAAAGCGGCUGUCUGGUCUGCAACUGACGCUGAGGCUCGAAAGCAUGGGUAGCAAACAGG
rnacentral:rRNA from 1 species